rnacentral:rRNA from 1 species
UGAACCUGCGGAGGGAUCAUUACUGAGUGAGGGCCUUCGGGCUCGACCUCCAACCCUUUGUGAACACAACUUGUUUGCUUCGGGGGCGACCCUGCCGUUUCGACGGCGAGCGCCCCCGGAGGCCUUCAAACACUGCAUCUUUGCGUCGGAGUUUAAGUAAAUUAAACAAAACUUUCAACAACGGAUCUCUUGGUUCUGGCAUCGAUGAAGAACGCAGCGAAAUGCGAUAAGUAAUGUGAAUUGCAGAAUUCAGUGAAUCAUCGAAUCUUUGAACGCACAUUGCGCCCCUUGGUAUUCCGAGGGGCAUGCCUGUUCGAGCGUCAUUUCACCACUCAAGCCUCGCUUGGUAUUGGGCGCCGCGGUGUUCCGCGCGCCUCAAAGUCUCCGGCUGAGCUGUCCGUCUCUAAGCGUUGUGAUUUCAUUAAUCGCUUCGGAGCGCGGGCGGUCGCGGCCGUUAAAUCUUUCACAAGGUUGACCUCGGAUCAGGUAGGGAUACCCGCUGAACUUAAGCAUAUCAAUAAGCGGAGGAA